UACAGAGGUCUCAAGCGUUGUUCGGAUUCAUUGGGCGUAAAGGGUGCGUAGGUGGCCAGGUAAGUCGGAUGUGAAAUCCCGGGGCUCAACCCCGGAACUGCAUUCGAUACUGCCCGGCUUGAGUACUGGGAGAGGAGAUUGGAAUUUACGGUGUAGCAGUGAAAUGCGUAGAUAUCGUAAGGAAGACCAGUGGCGAAGGCGGAUCUCUGGACAGUUACUGACACUGAGGCACGGAAGGCC
rnacentral:rRNA from 1 species